AUUAAGGAUAUGUAAUGCAGAGCCUGCGUUUAAAAAAAAAAAGAAAAAAAAAAGAUUUAAAAUUUCCUCUGCAAAACUAGUGUAGAAAAACUAGACAUUGAAAACAACUGAACUUUUAAAUACAGACACAGCAGUUGAGACUAGCUACAGAAGGCCACUGCAUCAAAAAAUCUGUGUUGAGAUGUUCAGCACAUUGAGAAAGCACUUGAGAAGAGCUGUUGCUCCGGUGUGACCCAGUUCUAUUUAAGCAAAACUGCCAAUUAGGAGCAGUAAAACACUAUGUAGACAUCCUAAUCAAGAUGGGCACUGGACACUGUGCAGUAAAAUACAGGAUUUUAAAUCACACAUUUUUUAACCAUCUCAAGAAUGAACUAAGGAACUUUUUCUGAUGAUCGCAGGGACUCACCUGGGAAAAAACUUCUGGCCUGGAAAAUAAACACGAUGAGAUUGGUAGAUUCUCUUUGAUUCUCUCAGCCUGAAUCUUUUCAUUAAUCAAUAAAUGUGCUGAGCAGAUGC
ensembl:lncRNA